AUGGCAAGGCUCAGUGGGGAGGGCGGCCGGCCGAGGCCUGUGGGCCGCCUGUGGUCUGUGGGAUGGUUUUUGCCGAACCUGCAAGACCUGAAAGUCAGGACAGGGACCAAAUUGGUGGCCAUACUGAAUCUUGGGGCUUACGCCUGGAGAGGGGAGGAUGUGGAAGAACUAGAGACUAACCUGGUCCUGAUGACAUUGUCUGAAUCCUGGAUCCAGCCAAACCUGCAGCUGACUCCACGCUCCACUUCUCAGCAUCCAGCCUGGAAGCCCGAGAGCCCAGCGUCCACCCCAGGUCCCAGGAAGCCCGGCUACCAACUCCUCCAGUGGGCUCUAGCUCCGUGGUUUGAAGAGAUUCGAGCACCCCCUGCUGGCAGCUGGCACAUCAGAGCGUCAACCGCCUGAGAGGUCAGCCCCCCCCCCUGCCCCUUGUCAUGCCGGUCACCGCCCCGGUGUGAUCCCUCAAAUGCACUAGACAUUUACAACUCCCCUCCAGAAAUGCUUCUCACAAGACUCCCCCACUUUCCUCCCACUGAUGCAUCUGAUAUGCCCCAAUCAUCUCUGAGACUGCAAGGCAUCACUUCCUCCAAGAAGCCUCCCUUGAUUUCACCCAGGGAAACUGAUCACACCGGCUUCCUGUCCCCGCUGUCCCUGUGAAAUGAAAACCCUAUCGCAGCU
rnacentral:lncRNA from 1 species